rnacentral:rRNA from 1 species
CUAAUACAUGCAAGUCGUACGCUGAAGCGCUCUGCUUGCAGAGCGCGGAUGAGUGGCGAACGGGUGAGUAACACGUGGGCAACCUGCCUGUAAGAUCGGGAUAACUCCGGGAAACCGGGGCUAAUACCGGAUAACCCGUGCCUCCUCCUGGAGGCGCGUUGAAAGGCGGCUUCGGCUGUCGCUUACAGAUGGGCCCGCGGCGUAUUAGCUUGUUGGUGGGGUAACGGCCCACCAAGGCGAUGAUACGUAGCCGACCUGAGAGGGUAAUCGGCCACACUGGGACUGAGACACGGCCCAGACUCCUACGGGAGGCAGCAGUAGGGAAUCUUCCGCAAUGGACGAAAGUCUGACGGAGCAAUGCCGCGUGAGUGAAGAAGGUCUUCGGAUCGUAAAGCUCUGUUGCCGGAGAAGAACAAGGACAGUAGUAACUGGCUGUCCCUUGACGGUAUCCGGCCAGAAAGCCACGGCUAACUGCGUGCCAGCAGCCGCGGUAAUACGUAGGUGGCAAGCGUUGUCCGGAUUUAUUGGGCGUAAAGCGAGCGCAGGCGGUCCUUUAAGUCUGAUGUGAAAGCCCACGGCUCAACCGUGGAAGGUCAUUGGAAACUGGGGGACUUGAGUGCAGAAGAGGAAAGUGGAAUUCCAUGUGUAGCGGUGAAAUGCGUAAAUAUAUGGAGGAACACCAGUGGCGAAAGGCGGC